rnacentral:ncRNA from 2 species
GGAAAAACAUAUAUGAAAACUCAUAUAUACCCUAGAAUAUGGCUAGGGAGUCUCUACCGGAUUACCGUAAAUUAUCCGACUAUGAGUGGAAUAUAAUAGCUA